CCAAGGAGUCUAACAUGUGCGCGAGUCGUAGGGUGCGUAAGCAAAACCCGAAGGCUUAAUGAGAGUAGAGGUCGGCAAUUUGUUCGUCGACCGAGGCGGGAUCCGUCUUUGUUUUUUCUUCUUUUUAUUAUUUCUUUUAAUUUUAAAAAGAGAAAAAUUACCCUCCUUUUUUUUUUUAAAAAUUUUCUUUUUUCUCCUCUUUCGAAAGGGAGAGGGAAAGAGAGGUUUGGAGGGAGGGGUAAAGAACGGCGCACCGCCGGCCCGUCUCGACCGCAACGCCGGUGAGGCGGCGCAAUAGCGCACACGUUGGGACCCGAAAGAUGGUGAACUAUGCCUAGGCAGGACGAAGCCAGAGGAAACUCUGGUGGAGGUCCGUAGCGUUUCUGACGUGCAAAUCGAUCGUCGGACCUGGGUAUAGGGGCGAAAGACUAAUCGAACCAUCUAGUAGCUGGUUCCCUCCGAAGUUUCCCUCAGGAUAGCUGGCGCUCAAGAGAUAACAGUCUCAUCCGGUAAAGCGAAUGAUUAGAGGCCUUGGGGCCGAAACGACCUCAACCUAUUCUCAAACUUUCAAUGGGUAAGAAGUCCGGCUUGCUCGACUGAAGCCCGGACCCACGGAUGCGAGUGCCCAGUGGGCCACUUUUGGUAAGCAGAACUGGCGCUGUGGGAUGAGCAAAACGCUGGGUUACGGCGCCCAAUGCGACGCUCAUGAGACACCAUGAAAGGUGUUGGUUGCUAUAGACAGCAGGACGGUGGCCAUGGAAGUCGGAAUCCGCUAAGGAGUGUGUAACAACUCACCUGCCGAAGCAACUAGCCCUGAAAAUGGAUGGCGCUCAAGCGUGGAGCCUAUACCCAGCCGUCGGAGCAGAGACCGUAGGACCUCUGAAGGGAGAGAAAAAAGAAUAAACCCUUUUUUUUCUUUUAAAAAAUUUUAAAAGAUCGUGGGGCUGCCGAUGCUCCGACGAGUAGGAGGGUCGCGGCGGUGAGCGUUGAAGGGUCGGGCGUAAGCCCGCCGGGAGCCGCCGUCGGUGCAGAUCUUGGUGGUAGUAGCAAAUACUCGAGUGAGAACCUCGAGGACUGAUGUGGAGAAGGGUUCCAUCUGAACAGCAGCUGAACAUGGGUCAUUCGUCCCUAAGGAAUAGGGGAAACCCGUUCCGACCGGGGGGGAAAAUAAAUUAAAAAACAAAUUUAUAAAGUUGUUAUUCCCCCCGCCGAGACCGAAAGGGAAUCGGGUUAAUAUUCCCGAACCCGGACACGGAGAUCGGGCCCUCGCGGUCCAGUGCGGUGACGCAAAUGAACUCGGAGACGUCGGCGGGAGUCCCAGGAAGAGUUGUCUUUUCUUUGUAAGGGACGGAAUCCCUGGAAUCGGCUCGCCCGGAGAUAGGGAUGUUGUUCCCGUAAAGCACCGCGCCUCCUGCGGUGUCUGGAGCGCUCCCGUCGGCCCUUGAAAAUCCAAGGGAGAAGGUGUGAUUUUCGUGCCGGGCCGUACCCAUAUCCGCAGCAGGUCU
rnacentral:rRNA from 1 species